rnacentral:misc_RNA from 1 species
GAUGAAGAACGCAGAGAAAUGCGAUAAGUAAUGUGAAUUGCAGAAUUCAGUGAAUCAUCGAAUCUUUGAACGCACAUUGCGCCCGCCAGUAUUCUGGCGGGCAUGCCUGUUCGAGCGUCAUUUCAACCCUCAGGCCCCCAGUGCCUGGCGUUGGGGAUCGGCGCGGCGCCCUCCGGGGCGCUGCCGGCCCCGAAAUUCAGUGGCGGUCUCGCUGUAGCCCUCCUCCGCGUAGUAGCACAACCUCGCGGCCUGGAGCUCGGCGGUGGCCAUGCCGUAAAACACCCCACUUCUGAAAGUUGACCUCGGAUCAGGUAGGAAUACCCGCUGAACUUAAGCAUAUCAAUAAGCGGAGGA